AACUCAUGAUUUAGGCAUUGGGCUAGAUUUCCAUUAAACCUCUCCCCUGCUUCAAAUAAUGGUUCCCAAUUCAAUUGUAAAAAUUUUAAAGUCUCAUCCCUCUUUUGAAGCA
rfam:Capsicum annuum cultivar Zunla-1 chromosome 12, whole genome shotgun sequence